GGUGACGAAGCGACGCCGCGUGUGGGAUGAAGGCCUUCGGGUUGUAAACCACUGUCGGGAGUUAAGAAUUGUAGGAAUGCUAAUAGUAUUUCUACUUGACUAAGGCUCCGGAAGAAGCCACGGCUAACUCUGUGCCAGCAGCCGCGGUAAUACAGAGGCGGCAAGCGUUGUUCGGAAUUAUUGGGCGUAAAGAGCAUGUAGGCGGCUAUGUAAGUCGGUUGUGAAAGCCUUCCGCUUAACGGAAGAAUGGCGGUCGAAACUGCAUGGCUUGAGUGCGGGAGGGGAGAGUGGAACUUCUGGUGGAGCGGUGAAAUGCGUAGAUAUCAGAAGGAACGUCGGCGGCGAAAGCGACUCUCUAGACCGUAACUGACGCUGAGUGUGCGAAAGCUAGGGGAGCAAACGGGAUUAGAUACCCCGGUAGUCCUAGCCGUAAACGAUGGGCACUAAGUAGAGGGGUUU
rnacentral:rRNA from 1 species